CCUACGGGUGGCAGCAGUGAGGAAUAUUGGUCAAUGGCCGGAAGCCUGAACCAGCCAAGCAGCGUGAAGGACGAAUGUGCCAAGCAUUGUAAACUUCUUUUGUCAAGGAACAAAAUCAGGCUCGAGAGCCUGACCGAGUGUACUUGAAGAAAAAGCAUCGGCUAACUCCGUGCCAGCAGCCGCGGUAAUACGGAGGAUGCGAGCGUUAUCCGGAUUUAUUGGGUUUAAAGGGUGCGUAGGGGGGCUGUUAAGUCAGCGGUAAAAGCCCGGGGCUCAACCCCGGAGAGCCGUUGAGACUGGCUGUCUUGAGAUGUGGAGAGGUAUGCGGAAUGCGUGGUGUAGCGGUGAAAUGCUUAGAUAUUGCGAAGAACUCCGAUUGCGAAGGCAGCAUACUGGCGGCGAUCUGACGUUGAGGCACGAAAGCGUGGGUAUCGAACAGGAUUAGAUACCCUUGUAGUC
rnacentral:rRNA from 1 species